UACGUAGGGGGCAAGCGUUGUCCGGAUUUAUUGGGCGUAAAGAGCGUGUAGGCGGCUUGGUAGGUCCGCUGUGAAAACUCGAGGCUCAACCUCGAGAUGUCGGCGGAAACCACUUGGCUAGAGUCCGGAAGAGGAGAGUGGAAUUCCUGGUGUAGCGGUGAAAUGCGUAGAUAUCCGGAGGAACACCGGUGGCGAAGGCGGCUUCCUGGACCGAUACUGACGCUGAGGCGCGAAAGCUAGGGGAGCAAACGGG
rnacentral:rRNA from 1 species